rnacentral:lncRNA from 1 species
UUUGUGCUGCUUGCACCUUUUUUUUUUUCUUUUUUCGCGGUCACCUCGUCGUGACCGCGAUGCCCAACACCUGCUGUGUGCCGGGUUGUCGCUCGGGAUACAAGGGCAACGUUGAAAAAGUCUCCCUGUUCUGUUUACCAGCCGACGCAGAACAACGCGACAGGUGGAAACGUGCAAUCCCGCGACAGGAGACUGUCGGAUUUUUGUUCGACUCGAAGUAUGUUCGCGUGUGCGAAAAACAUUUUGAUGCAAGUGACAUCGUACGUGCGGACGUGUGUACAGUGAAUAGGAACAUCGUUUCACUGCCUCGAGAUCGGCCAAGACUGGUGGAAGGCGCCGCACCAAGAAUUUUCGAAGGUUUGCCUGCUUACCUCUCCAAACCAAGACAGCGUUCGCGUGGACUAACAAAGCGCCCACCUGUAAAAAGGCCGCGAGAGCCUUCUCCAGACUGUGAUGCGACAGUUGCGAAUGUGGACGUCUCCAUUGUAGCCGACGAAGAAAUCGACGGUAAGUCUGGCACAAAGCUUGCAAGUAUCCUAACCGCUCACUACGCUAACAAAUUUCGCUCGCUAUACGCUAACAAAAUUGGCUCCUUCCCUAAUGAAAUUUGCUCUUAGUCAGUCUUUGCAGAUGUUGUAAGAACUGAGAAUCGCCCAGGCUUCGCUGAUGCAGAGUGUCAAAGAGAGGUCCCAGUUUAUUCAGUAUCGGAGCUGCAAAGAGUGAAGGCGCAACUUCGCAGCGUGAAGCAACAGCUUCAAUCAUGCCAGCGGAAACUCGCAAAAGCGGAGGCGCAUGCGAAUAAAAAAGGUGGAAUGUACGGGGAUAUUCACAAGCUGUCAAACCGCGAGAAGCUCAUUAUAGACCAGUGCAUCAUGAAGGCAAAUAUGAAGUCUACGAAAGCAGCACGGUAAGAUCUCGUUUGUGAAGUGUGUUUGGAGUUUUAUGUGAAGUGCGGUUUUCGGAGUGUGCACGUUUUCUUUCUGGAUAAUGAUAGAAACUGAAAAGUGAUGCUGUGGACCAAAAUGCAAUAUUUUGUUUUACUUUGAUAGUGCCGUUUGCUGGUGCUGUCGCUGAAUCGUGAACACAAAAAUCUGCAUUUUAUUUAUUGCAGGUUUAAAAAAGAAUGGCUUUACGACUGUUUACUGCUGAAAAUCAAAUCGACAGCAGUUUAUACAUUUCUUCACGAGAAUAAUUUUCUGCCUCUGCCACACCCUCGCACACUCUACUCCUACUUAAAAAAUCUGAAGGCCGGCUUUGGAUUUGAUGAAAAUUUAUUUGCCAUCCUCAAAGAUAAAGUGGGAAAUAUUUCAGAGAGAGAACGCCGAGGUGUCAAUUUUUAUUUUUUUUGCAUUUGAUUUUUCUGGACUUUAGGUAAACAGCUGAAAAAAUAUUUUUUUUUCUUGGGGGUCCUGAUGUUUGACGAGAUGAGCGUGAGAAGGAGCCUUCAUGUAAUGGAAUCGGAUAUGACACUGCUUUGAAAGGUCGACUUAGCAGAGCACACGAAGCCUACUGACCAAGUGAAAGAUGGUGACCAUGUGUUACUGUUCCUUUUCCGACCAUUCCUCGGUGGCUGGUCGCAGGCUGUCGGAGCGUUUUGCACGUCAGUGGCUGCACCAGGCUCCGCUAUUGCUAAACUGCUCCUGCAUUGCAUUGUACUCCUGUCGAAUGCCGGUGUCAUUGUGGAUGCAGUCACUUGCGAUAACUCUACUUCGAACCGAUCAGCAUUGAACUCUUUGGGCGUCAGCGGCGAUAUCGCCAGAGUAUCAACGUCAUUUGAGCAUCCAUGUGACUCCUCCGAAGUCAUUCAGGUCAUAAUUGACCCACCUCACAUCUUCAAGUGCAUCAGGAAUAACCUUCGGAAGGCUGGAAAAUUCCUUUUGCCUGGUGACAAAGAAGUGCAGCAUUUCUACUUUGAAGCUCUGCUAGACUACGAGGAGCAGCAAGCUGGACGCGGGCUGUGCCAAAGCUUACGAAAGCACACAUCAGGCCCAACGCUCUCCAAAAACUGAGUGUGAAACUUGCUGUCCAGGCAAGUCUGCUCUAGCAUGUGUCAUUAAUUAUUAGUAUGUAUCAAAAAGUGCUGUUCCUUCAUGAAAAUACAGCACUCUGCCAUA